rnacentral:lncRNA from 1 species
AGUAACAAGAGUAAUGGAUAUCCUAGUAUCUAUUGUGUAACUAGGCUUUUACCUACAUGGGCUUUUUUAAAAUAGCAUCUGUUAUUAUGGCUUUUUUAAAUCUCAGUUUCCUUGGUCUCACAGAUCUGAUAUACCUGAAGCCAAGCCAGGUUUUUUUUAAAAUUGUGCAUAGGUUAAUAUGCUGGUGAAAGGAUUCCUUAUGAAUGUCUUGUAAAUGACUCCUGCUAAUGCAGAAUGCCACGUUUAAAGAGAAAGCAGAUAGAGUACAGAUUUUUGAGGAACCAGCAUGCAAGAUUUAGCAUUGGUUUUGGCAUAAGUGUCCUGUUUUCCAAGUACAGAGCUGCCUGACCCUGACAUUUAGAGGUGAGGGUCACCUUCCAUUCAGACCAGGAGUCAAAUGUGAUUUCUGUAGCAUAGCAAAAGACUGUUGGGCAAACUUCUCUUCAGUUGUAGGAUUCAAAGGAACCACUGGCAGUCAUAGGCUGUUCAGGAAACUGUUUUUUGUGGGUUUUCGUUUAUGGACCCAGAUGCAAAAGGGAUAUGUGUAUGUGAGAAAGAACCAUGUGUGCAAACUUCUCUUCAGUUGUAGGAUUCAAAGGAACCACUGGCAGUCAUAGGCUGUUCAGGAAACUGUUUUUUGUGGGUUUUCGUUUAUGGACCCAGAUGCAAAAGGGAUAUAUGUAUGUGAGAAAGAACCAUGUGUUGUAUUGGGAUUUUGAUAACCUGUUUCUUCCACUGGCAUUCCCAUUGUGCAUUUUAAAAAGCAAAUUCUCUUUUCGGCAUGAGGAAUUGUUAUGAGGAGAAUCACAAGGAAGUGAUAUCCCUUUUCUACCUAUGACCUAUUUUUGCAUAAAUGCAAAUCAACUCAAAGGGAGAAGAGGUCUCUCAGCUACAAUGAUAACCAUGACUGGAUUGGGGGCUCCACUCCAGAGGCAAUUAUGUUCUGAUUACGACAUGAACGAAAUAUUAUGUCACGUAUCUGGAACACGCCCAGGGUUCCGCUGGAUUGGGGGCUCCACUCCAGAGGCAAUCAUGUUCUGAUUACGACAUGUUAAGAACGAAAUAUUGUGUCACGUAUCUAGAACAUGCCUAGGGUUCCAU